rnacentral:rRNA from 1 species
UCCUGGCGUCAGGAUGAACGCUGGCGGCAUGCCUAAUACAUGCAAGUCGAACGAGAGACCUUCGGGUCUCUAGUGGCGAACGGGUGAGUAACACGUAGGGAACCUGCCCGUGCACCGGGAAUACGCUCUGGAAACGGAGAACAAAUCCCGAUGUACAGGAAGGAGGCAUCUUCUUUCUGUGAAACAUCCUUUAGGGGGAUGGGGCGCGGAUGGACCUGCGGUGCAUUAGUUGGUUGGCGGGGUAAAGGCCCACCAAGACGAUGAUGCAUAGCCGGCCUGAGAGGGCGGACGGCCACAUUGGGACUGAGACACGGCCCAGACUCCUGCGGGAGGCAGCAGUAGGGAAUUUUCGUCAAUGGGCGCAGGCCUGAACGAGCGAUGCCGCGUGAGUGAAGAAGGCCUUCGGGUCGUAAAGCUCUGUUGCGGGGGAAAAAAGGCAGCAUCAGGAAAUGGGUGCUGACUGAUGGUGCCCCGCCAGAAAGUCACGGCUAACUACGUG